rnacentral:rRNA from 1 species
GACGAACGCUGGCGGCGUGCUUAACACAUGCAAGUCGAACGGAAAGGCCCUGCUUUUUUGGGGUGCUCGAGUGGCGAACGGGUGAGUAACACGUGAGUAACCUGCCCUUGACUUUGGGAUAACUUCAGGAAACUGGGGCUAAUACCGGAUAGGAGCUCCUGCUGCAUGGUGGGGGUUGGAAAGUUUCGGCGGUUUGGGAUGGACUCGCGGCUUAUCAGCUUGUUGGUGGGGGAGUGGCUUACCAAGGCUUUGACGGGUAGCCGGACUGAGAGGGUGACCGGCCACAUUGGGACUUGAGAUACGGCCCAGUGUCCUACGGGAGACAGCAGUGGGGAAUAUUGCCCAAUGGGCGGAAGUCUGAUGCAGCAACGCCGCGUGCGGGAUGACGGCCUUCGGGUUGUAAAACGCUUUCGCCUGUGACGAAGCGUGAGUGACGGUAAUGGGUAAAGAAGCACCGGCUAACUACGUG